rnacentral:tRNA from 1 species
GGUGGGCUGGCCGAGUGGUUGAAGGCGCUAGUCUCGAAAACUGGUAUACCUGUAAGGGUAUCGUGAGUUCGAAUCUCACGCCCACCGCCA